CUGGCUGGGAUUCCUGGGGACGCUGUAGAGAGCUUCUGCAAUGUCCGCGGCUCGCUUCAAAAUGAUGUCCUACAAGACGACAGGUUGAGGCCACUAAGCAGUCCAGUCCUAACUCUAAAUCCUCAUCUCCUCCAAGAAGAAAGCAAGCAGUGGAGAAAGAAUCCUCAGGAAAUCUAAAACCUGUGUAAUGUGAUGGCCAGAUAAACACCACAUCAGAAGAUGGACUUUGCAGAACAGCCAGAGAGCCAAGGCCAUUGUUACUGGCCAAGUGAAACUACCAGAUGAAGCCAAAUGGAUAGCCUUGGUGCAAUUUCUUCAAAUAAGCUAUACAGUCUUGAGCCCUGAUGUUGUUUAUGCUGUACUUGGCAGCAACAACCGUGGGGAGCUAUUACUGCAUUUUUGCCUAAUUAUAUACCAGGUAAGUUCCACCUAAUAGACUUAGGUUUAUUGUUGUGGUGUGUCCCUGGUUACAGGAACCAACAACGGUUGGACCAUGAACCAUAAGGUGUGUGUGGUGGGGUGGGAGGCUGAGGGAGGCGGGGUUUGGAGGCUCCCUUCCCAUUUCCUGCUUUUUGAGUCUCUUUCUAGAAAGUUCCAUCUAAGAGUAAAUACCAUGGUGUUUGUGGUGUCAUGAUUUGGUCUCAAAAGAACUGCCCCAUGUUGUGGAGUACUUUACAAGCCAGGAAGUCACGGCAGCAGCCUGAUGAGCAGGAGUCAGGUUCCCCAAACUCAUUUUUUUGUUUAAAGGACAGAUUCUCAGACCCUCCCAGAAGAGUGUGACUCAGUAUGUCCGGAACAGGACCUGGUGUGAUUCUUCUCCUACUUGGCCAAAUUAGGGAAACAGCUAUGGCUAAGAUUAUAAUUAGCACCAGAGCUUUACAGAGAAAGAAAAGGAGGCUCAGAGAGGUUAAGCGACUUGACACAGGACAAAGAAGUCAUUGACAGCACAGCCCGUGUCCGAAAGCAGGUCUCUGGCCGACUCCAGUGCGGCUCCUCUUAGCUCCAUCCCACCCCGGACUCUCACUGAUUCCACGAAAGCUCUCUCGGUCUCCGGUUUCCCCUUUCCUCUGGAAUCAAGAUUACAUUUUCUACUUCACCACAGAGCUGAGGGUUUUGUCUUGGCCUCUAGUGGUCUCUGAAGCACCUCCCUGCAGUAGCACCGGACGUGGGCCUGGAGGAGCAGACCCCACUGCCUUUCCAGCUGUUGGACUAAGACUCCCGGUGGGGUCUAAAUUAGCAUCCCUGUUGGUGGCUGCUGGAAAGGCAGUGGCUUCUCCAGGUGACUGAAGAUGUGAGGACUUGGGCCCUUCCGGGGAGCCUGCAGGAUCAUGGCCUUCUCCCUGUGAGGCCACAGAGGCCCCUCCCUCAGCAUUCCAGCCAGCCUGGCCUCAGAGCCACACCUUCUGAGCCUCUGGGGAAUCAAUCAGCUCCUCCAGGACCAGACAAGAGACCACCCAUCUGCUUCCUGUGGCGUCUGGUCCCUCUUUGGAUAAAAUCAGCUACCUGUCUCUACCAACAAGAAUUGCAUUUGGCCCCGGAACCUCAGGGAGGACGUUUUUAGAGAGCGAUCAGCCUCCUGAGCUCUCCUGGACUGUGUUUGAAUUUUUGUUUUCUGCUCUGACUGCAAAAGCAUAUACUACUGUGUCCCCACCCUCCACACCCCUGACUGCCUCCCAAGGUCUAACCGUCUCAAAUGCAAGAAGGAAAAUGCUCCACUGCUUCCCUGGCUGGAAAUACUUUCCUUGUACCUGGAGAAAUCAGACUGCUGAUGUGAGCUGUUUCAGUGUUUAAACAUGUGUGAUGCUAAUGUUUUAUAUUCACCUAAUUUUUAAUUUAAAAUUGCUUCAUUUGUUAGAAAAUAACAACUAAGCAAAAUGAUAAAACUAAUAGUAUCAAUACCCAGAAACCACCAUGGUUAACUCUGUGGUAGUCAGGCUUCCAUAGUUUACUUGCGUUUUUUUAUGCAGGCAUUUAUUUUUUCAUAUAUAUAAAAUUGGAGCAUACUGUACAUAGUUUUAAGCUUUUAAAAAAUCACCAGCGUCUUUCAUGUAACUAAAUAUCCACCCAUAGCAUUACUUUUAAUGUCUAAAGAGUGUUUCAGUAUACGGAUGUUUCAUUAUUUAUUUAAUAAGCUUCCUAGAGGAUGCUAAGAAUGUUUCAGUUUUUCACAUCUAUAAAUAGUACUCCAAUGAAAAAGUCUUUAUUUAUUUAUUUAUUUUUUUUAAUGGCCGCACGGAGGCAUAUAUGAAAGUUC